UGGGGAAUAUUGCACAAUGGGGGAAACCCGUGAUGCAGCGACGCCGCGUGAAGGAAGAAGUAUCUCGGUAUGUAAACUUCUAUCAGCAGGGAAGGAUAGUGACGGUACCUGACUAAGAAGCCCCGGCUAACUACGUGCC
rnacentral:rRNA from 1 species